GGGAAGUUGGAGCUUUUGCUGCUGGUGCGAAGCUGUCGGUGUUGCAAGUGAGCACAGGUUCACACCGUAGUAUACUUGAUGUGCCACUGCAGCCAGCCUGGGCCCCAUCUGCUGAGGUCCUGCAACUGGAAUAUCAACAAAGAAACCAGAACUGGACAUGAUAUGCCAGCAGCCAUCACACAAGUG